rnacentral:rRNA from 2 species
UUUUCUCAAGGAAUAAGUACUGAAGGUACUUGAGGAAUCAGCAUCGGCUAACUCCGUGCCAGCAGCCGCGGUAAUACGGAGGAUGCAAGCGUUAUCCGGAAUGAUUGGGCGUAAAGGGUCCGCAGGUGGCAUUGAAAGUCUGCUGUCAAAGAGUGCAGCUCAAACUGCAUAAAGGCAGUGGAAACUACAAAGCUAGAGUACGUUAGGGGCAGAGGGAAUUCCUGGUGUAGCGGUGAAAUGCGUAGAGAUCAGGAAGAACACCGGUGGCGAAAGCGCUCUGCUAGGACUGUACUGACACUGAGGGACGAAAGCUAGGGGAGCGAAUGGGAUUAGAUACCCCAGUAGUCCUAGCCGUAAACGAUGGAUACUAGGCGUUGCGCGUAUCGACCCGCGCAGUGCCGGAGCUAACGCGUUAAGUAUCCCGCCUGGGGAGUACGCAGGCAACUGUGAAACUCAAAGGAAUUGACGGGGGCCCGCACAAGCGGUGGAGUAUGUGGUUUAAUUCGAUGCAACGCGAAGAACCUUACCAGGACUUGACAUGUCCGGAAUCUCAGGGAAACUUGAGAGUGCCUUCGGGAGCCGGAGCACAGGUGGUGCAUGGCUGUCGUCAGCUCGUGUCGUGAGAUGUUGGGUUAAGUCCCGCAACGAGCGCAACCCUCGUUCUUAGUUGCCAGCAUUUCGGAUGGGCGACUCUAAGGAGACUGCCGGUGACAAACCGGAGGAAGGUGGGGAUGACGUCAAGUCAGCAUGCCCCUUACGUCCUGGGCUACACACGUACUACAAUGCUGUGGACAAUGGGCAGCAAGCAGGCAACUGCAAGCAAAUCUCACAAACCAUGGCUCAGUUCAGAUCGAAGGCUGCAACUCGCCUUCGUGAAGGUGGAAUCGCUAGUAAUUGCAGGUCAGCAUACUGCAGUGAAUUCGUUCCCGGGCCUUGUACACACCGCCCGUCACACCAUGGAAGCUGGUAGUGCCCGAAG